CAACUGCUCCUGUGAUCUCUGACCUCCUUAGUACAUUCCACAAGGAUCUAUUUUUUUAAUUUAUUUUUUAGGAAGCUCGUUGGAGCUGGGAGUUGAACAGAAGCUGUCACUGUAGCAUGUGUUGUUCCUGACAACUCUGUUUCUUUGGCACAUGUUUUAGGUUGUAGGAAAUCAGAAUUAGCUGUGUCUUUUAUUGCAACUCCUGUCUCUGCAAAGACCCCUAAAAAUCCUGCUUUUAUUUUGUUUAUUUUUUUAUUUACCUCCACUAUUGUCUGAAGGCAAGAUCAAGGCUACAUCUGGAAUCUGGUUGGAAUGAACUGCAGAAUGUUUUUGCCAUGAAGCCAAGGGAUGUGCUUUGGGAUGUGAUUUUCCAUGGUUUUUUUUCCUUCUAUGGUGCUCUGCAGAUCUCCUCUUUAAAAGACUUUCAGAC